ACUGAUUAACACAGUUCUCUCCACUGAUAAUAAAAAAGAAGGUAUCCUUUACUGAGUGUAUAUGAUGUAUUCCAGGCAUUCUGCAAAAUUCUUCAUGUAGAUUAUCUCAAUGAAUUACACAAACAGCUUUGGGAGGCCACUAAUGAUGUGAACAGAAAGGAGGAUAAUAAACACCACCAUCCUAUGAUUUCCCUCAUACCUUGCUGGCUUCUCUGCCUCUUCCAGUCUCUCAGGGGUGAAGAGUCCCAGUCUUCUCUGCAGGUAGUGUGGUUUUGAAGACCACAGAAGAAAGUAGGAGAUGGGGAGCCUGGAAUCAACAUAUACCUGUUCUGUCAGAGAGAUGAAGGAGCAACUGUGUCUGGUCAUAAUUGUAGCUGGCCAUUAGCUGGCUGAGUAGCUAGGAGUUUACCUGCUUUUCUUGUACAGACUACAGGAGGCCACAAUGGGACCAUAAUGCGUGUUGCUAGUAGGUGGCCAAUUUAGGGAGGACAUAGUUGUCAGU